rnacentral:rRNA from 1 species
CCCUUAGAUGUCCGGGGCCGCACGCGCGCUACACUGAAGGAAUCAGCGUGGCUUUCUCCCUGACCCGAAAGGGCUGGGAAACCCGUUGAAUCUCCUUCGUGAUAGGGAUUGGGGCUUGAAAUUGUUCCCCAUGAACGAGGAAUUCCCAGUAAGCGCGAGUCAUAAGCUCGCGUUGAUUACGUCCCUGCCCUUUGUACACACCGCCCGUCGCUACUACCGAUUGAACGGUUUAGUGAGGGCCUCGGAUUGGUCUCGGCCCGCUCUUUACCGGGCGGCGCCGUUGGUCGAGAAGACGCUCGAACUUGAUCGUUUAGAGGAAGUAAAAGUCGUAACA